AAGGUCCGAGUGAGGGCCCGUCCGGGUAACGGGUGCGCGGAGGCCGAGGUAAGGGUCACGUGACCCGGGGAGCUGGCGGCCCUGGGCCGAGGAAACGUGGGUCCUCGCGGGGCUGGAAGAUUGGUGCUGACCAUUGGGAAGAUUCAAGGUGGUGACUGCUGCGGAUGGGGCAGUGACAGUGGAAGACGGUGUGGUGGUGGCAGCAGGAGCUGGUGAGGGUGCUGCUCCCACUGAACAGGAGGCUGCUGCUGAAGGUGACAAACCUCAGGGAGAAGAAAAGGAGGUUGAUGUUUCUCAGGAAAAGGUCAGCAGCAUCCCUUCAGUAGUGAUAGAGCCAGCAUCGAACAACGAAGGGGAAGGAGAAGAACAUGAUGUCAUCAUGAAUGAGUCCAAAGAUGCUGCAGCAGAGAUGGGCACUCAGGGCACUGACAGUGAAACCUCCCAAGUUGGAAGUGAGCAGAAACCAGCUGAAGAAAUCCAGGCUGCACCUUCUCAAGGAGGCUGGCUGUUUGACAGGCAUUAAGGAAUCUGAGUGGCUUCAGUACAGAGAUGCAAAGAGUUCUAAAGGACUUUUCCCGGAGAACUUCACACGCCAUAUGGAAUAGCUCUUCUCACAGGCACACAAAUGUGGUAUGAAGCUCAGUCAGUAGGUUUUUAACCUCUUUGAAACACAGGAGCCCACUUUUUUUGUAGUUCAGGCUGUUAAUGGUUUACAGAUUGGUGCUGGACAAAGCUUGUUGAAGCAUAUCAAAAUGAGCAUGAGUGCAAACAGUUCAGCUAGCAAUUUCUGAAGCAGUGUGUUAAAAAAAAAAAAAAAUCAGAAAUGUCCUUAUUUGUUCACAUGUAUGUGGCAACAGGUUUGUUUGUGCUUUGUCAGAGCUAUGGUGAUCCUGUAUUUGGUCCUUUCCCAUGAAAUCCCAAAUUAGCCUCCUUGGUACCAAAACCUUAACUUCUCUGCACUGAGUGUAUUGUAUUGAGUUGCACUGCAGAAAAUUUAAUGAGUAAUCCUGUAGUAAUGAGGUCAAACUAUUCUAAGUUUCAUGUGUUUAAAAAAUAUAAUUAACUGCUGCAACGUUUUUCAGUGUUAUUUUUGGACAUGUGUAAUAUAUAUACACAGGAACUUGAAUGUAUAUCUAUAAGUGCAUAUGGGUAUAUAUGCAUUUUAACAAUUUCACUGCAAUUCUUUGACUGUGUGGUGUCAUCAGUACAUGCAUUGCUCUCUCACUGUCCGGCAUUACAGGAAACAGUUUUGUUCCAAAGCAAAACUAGCUGCUCCAUUGCCAAAACAUCAAACAGUAUCUGUGUUAGUAAUGUGAAAUUUUCGUUCUGAGAUGAUGAAUAACAUCGUUUUCAAAGCUGCUAAACCUUUGAGAAGGCAUGGCUCAGUUUCCUCUUCCAGCUGUAGUAGUUACAGUGAGAUAAUCUGGAAGGGGAACUGUUAUGAUGCACAUCUGUACUUUUUUAUUUAAUUGGCUGAUUAAAAAAAAAAAAACACAACAAAAUUAAUCUCUGAGAAAUAAGCAUAAUAUAUUUUCACAAUGGGUAUUUACGCGGCAUACCUUCACAAAUCCUUUUAAAUUAAGAUAUAUGAUGUAUCCUGUAUCAAAAAGUCAUCUGUAACUUCUGUUUUCCAGUGCUGUGUCAUUAAAAAUAAACCUUUGAUCCAAAGACA